GAGACGACGCGGACUGACGCGGACGGACGUGUUUACGCUGAUGUGCGCGCGGGCUUUAUCUCGCAAGCUUCCAAAGCUUCUCGUCUGCAGGUGCCCUGGGUCGCCGCCGAGAAUUCCCGCAAGGGCCUCGGGUCAUUACAGUUUGUCUGGUUGUUGCUGAAACACUCAUCUGGAUUAUCGUCCGAGUCGACUUGCACGGGGCACGCCAGACUCCGUUGUUCAACCCUUGCCACUAGCUGCUCGCUCCCGUAACAUCGCCAAGAAUUCCACGAGCCAGGCACUUCGUUUCCUUUUUUGAGAACAGCUCCCUUUUGGCGCAAAUUGUGCGCAAAUACCACCUUUGCAGUAUAUUAGCAGGGUUUUCGUUUUAGCGCAAAUGGCGCAGCAGUUCCACCACUGGAACUUAUCCCUCAAAAAGUUACUAUGCUAGUGUGGUGGAAACACGUUCGCACUAAGAACUAUCGAAAGCAGCGGUGCCUCAGAAGGGUCGAUGACCCAUUCCACGAAGGACAAUACGGGCAAAAUUGGUUUACGACAAGGACGAAUUCACUAAAUGUAAUGGCGCAAACAAGCUGGUAUAUGUAAAAAUAAAAUAACAGUCACAAAGCCUCGCAGCUUGUGAAUAAGAUGAAG